rnacentral:rRNA from 1 species
CCUACGGGUGGCUGCAGUGAGGAAUAUUGGUCAAUGGGCGAGAGCCUGAACCAGCCAAGUCGCGUGAAGGAUGACGGCCCUACGGGUUGUAAACUUCUUUUGUCAGGGAGCAAGUGAGGCCACGUGUGGGCUUAGCGAGAGUACCUGAAGAAAAAGCAGCGGCUAACUCCGUGCCAGCAGCCGCGGUAAUACGGAGGAGGCGAGCGUGAUCCGGAUUUAUUGGGUGAAAAGGGUGCGUAGGCGGAAUAUCAAGUCAGCGGUAAAAAUUCGGGGCUCAACCCCGUCGUGCCGUUGAAACUGCUGUUCUUGAGUGGGCGAGACGUAUGCGGAAUGCGUGGUGUAGCGGUGACAUGCAUAGAUAUCACGCAGAACUCCGAUUGCGAAGGCAGCAUACCGGCGCCCAACUGACGCUGACGCACGAAAGCGUGGGUAUCGAACAGGAUUAGAUACCCCUGUAGUC